rnacentral:lncRNA from 9 species
AUGGUACCUAGCCAGCACAGUGCCUGUAACACUCACUUCUCGUGGGCUCGUACUGUGUGCAAACAUAUGUACAGCAGGUGCCCUGGGCCAAACACAGCACUACGAACGAAGCGCUUUCCGCAAGUCAGGUCACAAAGUGAUCAAACAGCUGAUGAAGCAGGCCUUCUUCUGUUCCCAGUCUAUAGGCUGCUCCUACAGGGGACACCCUUGAUCUGUGCUCUCCCACCGAUUCUCUCCUCCAGAGUCCCAGCCGGUUCACCUCCACAAAUGCGUCUCCCAUCAUUUCCCGAGUGCUCCCCUCUCACUGCGACGGUGCAUCUGCCUGCCUUUCUUGCUUCAUUACGGCCGGCUUCAGCUCAUCGUUCACAGAGCAGCCAAAAGGGCUUUAUUCAAAUGCCCAUCUGACCAUGCCCCCUUCCUAUUUAAGGAUCCCACUGUACUUGCAACAAAAUAAAAACUCCUCAGCAGGUGUCUGGCCCCUUUUCCUCCCGCACCAUCUCCAGCCACCUCUGCUCAUUCAAUUUCAGCCACACUCCCCUUCCCUCUCUUCACGAAGGAGCCCAAGCGUGUCCCGCCUUUGGGGCUUUGCCUUCCCUUCCCUCUAGGCCUCCACUGCUUGUCCCCAAGACAGGAGUUUGCCAGUUACUGUUCAGCAAAAACAUCCUGUCCUCAAAGACACCCUCCCUCCCCCGGUUACGACAGCCAUCCAGGUCCCUCUGUCCCGUUCCUGGAUUUGCUGAGCAGUAUCUUAACCCGUCUUUUGUCUGUUUUCUCUGACUUGGUUUGCUCUUUCUCCUUUGAGGACAGGGGGCAGGAGCUCUCAACGUCAGCACGACUGGGUAAC